CGAAGAUAACACUGAAUAUGGAAAUAUAUGCAACAGAAUUUACAUAACAGAACAACCAACUAGAUGUCAGUGUUCAUAUACUGGUACAAGUGGAAGCACAAACACUAAGAUCAACAGCACAAACAACGAACAGAACACAGAAGAUUAAACUUCUGUUGCUUAUUUAUAACCAUUUAUUUAAAAUAUAAAUCUAGCUAGAGCUUGCUAGCUAGAUACUUAGUUGGCUGGUGGACGCUUGUGGGGUGGCUUGUGUUUUGGCGGAAAUUUCUCUCCGUGUGGUGGCUUGUGUUUUGGUGGUG
rnacentral:misc_RNA from 1 species